GGCAGAUCCUCGCGUUCCGGCAGCCCCUGGCGGUGCUUCUGUAACUUCAUAAAUGCCUGUUAUUUGAACAACAAGUCAAAUAAAAACGCGAAAUAGACCUGCCGCGGGCUUUUCACAAGCUCCCUCGGCCCAGGACAAUGAGGCCUGAGGACCAACUCAGGGCCUUUAAACUUAAUGGCGUUGGGUAACAUUGCGCCGUGGCCAGCGGGCGCUUGUACGGCCGGGCGGGCGGCGGUCCGUGGGAGCUCUUUAUGCUCAGGAAACCUUUCACGAGGCUUUAACUGAGCCGCGCUCACUGGUGCCCAUAUGGUCAAGUCAACGUUCAAGAUCCAGCUA